rnacentral:rRNA from 1 species
UACGGAGGGUGCAAGCGUUGUCCGGAAUCACUGGGCGUAAAGGGCGCGUAGGCGGCUCAUGAAGGCUGUGGUGAAAGUCCGGGGCUCAACCUCGGAUCGGCCGUGGCGACUCGUGGGCUGGAGCACUGUAGAGGCGGGUGGAAUUCCGGGUGUAGCGGUGGAAUGCGUAGAGAUCCGGAAGAACACCAGUGGCGAAGGCGGCCCGCUGGGCAGUGGCGUGACGCUGAGGCGCGACAGCGUGGGGAGCAAACGAGGA